rnacentral:tRNA from 1 species
AGCAGAGUGGCGCAUUGUUUUGGGCGUGCUGGGCCCAUAACCCAGAGGUCGAUGGAUCGAAACCAUCCUCUGCUA